rnacentral:rRNA from 1 species
AGAGGUUGAUCAUGGCUCAGAUUGAACGCUGGCGGUAGGCUUAACACAUGCAAGUCGUGCGAGAAAGUAUCUUCGGAUAUGAGUAGAGCGGCGGACGGGUGAGUAACGCGUAGGAAUCUACCUAGUAGAAGGGGAUAGCCCGAGGAAACUCGGAUUAAUACCGUAUACCUCCUUCGGGAGAAAGAAGGCCUCUCUUUGAAGCUUUCGCUACUAGAUGAGCCUGCGUAAGAUUAGCUUGUUGGUGAGGUAAAGGCUCACCAAGGCAACGAUCUUUAGCUGGUCUGAGAGGACGAUCAGCCACAUUGGGACUGAGACACGGCCCAGACUCCUACGGGAGGCAGCAGUGGGGAAUAUUGGACAAUGGGCGCAAGCCUGAUCCAGCCAUACCGCGUGUGUGAAGAAGGCCUUCGGGUUGUAAAGCACUUUAAGCAGGGAGAAAAAGUUAUAAGCUAAUACCUUAUAACCUUGAUGUUACCUGCAGAAUAAGCACCGGCUAAUUCCGUGCCAGCAGCCGCGGUAAUACGGAAGGUGCAAGCGUUAAUCGGAAUUACUGGGCGUAAAGCGCGCGUAGGUGGUUUGUUAAGUUGGAUGUGAAAGCCCUGGGCUCAACCUAGGAACUGCAUCCAAAACUAACUCACUAGAGUACGAUAGAGGGAGGUAGAAUUCACAGUGUAGCGGUGGAAUGCGUAGAUAUUGUGAAGAAUACCAAUGGCGAAGGCAGCCUCCUGGAUCUGUACUGACACUGAGGUGCGAAAGCGUGGGUAGCGAACAGGAUUAGAUACCCUGGUAGUCCACGCCGUAAACGAUGUCAACUAUCUGUUGGAAAGCAUUGCUUUUCAGUGGAGCAGCUAACGUAAUAAGUUGACCGCCUGGGGAGUACGGCCGCAAGGCUAAAACUCAAAUGAAUUGACGGGGACCCGCACAAGCGGUGGAGCAUGUGGUUUAAUUCGAUGCAACGCGAAAAACCUUACCUACUCUUGACAUACUUGGAAGCUCUUGUAAUGAGAGCUGUUCUUUAUACACAUCUGAAG